rnacentral:rRNA from 1 species
UACAAUGGAGAGUUUGAUCCUGGCUCAGGAUGAACGCUAGCGGGAGGCCUAACACAUGCAAGCCGAGGGGUAUUUUGGAGCUUGCUUCAAGAGAGACCGGCGUACGGGUGCGUAACGCGUAUGCAACUUACCUGUAUCACCGGGAUAGCCCGGGGAAACCCGGAUUAAUACCGGAUAACAUAUCUGCCAGCAUUGGCAGAUAUUAAAAGAUUAAUCGGAUACAGAUAGGCAUGCGUAGGAUUAGUUAGUUGGUAAGGUAACGGCUUACCAAGACGAUGAUCCUUAGGGGGCCUGAGAGGGUGAACCCCCACACUGGAACUGAGACACGGACCAGACUCCUACGGGAGGCAGCAGUGAGGAAUAUUGGACAAUGGGUGAGAGCCUGAUCCAGCCAUCCCGCGUGAAGGACGACAGCCCUAUGGGUUUUAAACUUCUUUUGUAUGGGAAUAAACCACAUUACGUGUAAUGUUCUGAAGGUACCAUACGAAUAAGCAUCGGCUAACUCCGUGCCAGCAGCCGCGGUAAUACGGAGGAUGCGAGCGUUAUCCGGAUUUAUUGGGUUUAAAGGGUCCGUAGGCGGGUUGAUAAGUCAGCGGUGAAAACCUGCAGCUUAACUGUAGAACUGCCGUUGAUACUGUUAAUCUUGAAUAGU